UAAUUAAGUAUACCCUCAAAACACGCAAACAUAACUUUGACAGUCGUUGUAUGCAAUGCUACAUAGUUUAUGAGCGCACCAAUAAGCAUCUGCAGUUUCUCGUCCACGGGAACAAUCAUAAAAGUAAGUCAACAUCGACACUAGCUUGCUUUAAUUGUGCUGUGAAUUGCGGAAGAAAACGCUAAAAUAUUCAUAGUUUCAAUUUCAGAUUGUCGCUUGCAAAGUGCACGCUAAGGCCUUUUGAUUCACAAUACAUCAGUUCCAAUGGUUUAGACUAAGUGGGAUUUGGUUGAAUGCAGUUAUAAUAAUAUGUUGGAUAAGUUUAGAUAUUUUGAUAACAAAAACCUUUGUAGAUUCUUUAGUCUAAGAUGUAGCAAAAUAUUGUAAUAAAAAUGUGAAUGUAAGCAAAAAAUGUA